rnacentral:lncRNA from 1 species
AUGACUCAUGAGGACUUUCAAUGGGCAGCAAGUGCCCUGGUGACAUAGGGUCACAUCCUGUUACUCAAGAAGGCAGGUCCUGGGUAGAUCCCAGGGAGGUGAGUUGGUGGGGGAUAAAGAGCUCCUGUGUGGCCAGCAGCUGGCUGCAGUUCCCCAGGAAACAGCUUCCGGCAGACACUCAAUCUCCAGUUGUAACAGGUGGUGUGGAGUCCGCUGUCCCAGGGAGUGGGCUCAAGGCCUAGUCCUGCCAAUGAACUUGCUGUAGAAACUUUUCUGUCUAUCAAAUGAGAUGGUCUCCCUCUGUCACCUAGGUUGGAAUGCACUGGUGCAAUAAUUGCUCACUGCAGCCAUGACCUCCCAUGCUCAAGCAAUCCUCCCACCUCAGCCUCCCACGUAGCUGGGACUACAGGCAUCUUGGAGAGAGGUAUCACCUCAGAGCUGGAGAAAUGUCAAGCUAGUUGAAUAACAGGCACCAAAGGUUUUGAGGGGUGCAGAGCGAAGAGCCUUGGGCUGAGAGUUUGAGUCCUGACUGUUUCAGUGAGACCAGCAAGCGCUUUCUCUCUCCAGCUUCUCCAUUUCCACCUUUGCAAACUCUGGACUCCAAGGACGCAAGAUGGCCGGAAACAAGAUGGUGGAGCAUGAAGGCCCUUGCCAGAUGACAGCACUAUGCCCUUGGACUCCCCAGCCUCCAUAACCAUGGGCCAAAUAAACUUCUAUUGUUUUAAAUUG